UACAGAGGGUGCGAGCGUUGUCCGGAAUCACUGGGCGUAAAGGGCGCGUAGGCGGCUCGAUAAGGCUGUGGUGAAAGCCCGGGGCUCAACCCCGGGUCGGCCGUGGCGACUGUCGGGCUGGAGCACUGUAGAGGCGGGCGGAAUUCCGGGUGUAGCGGUGGAAUGCGUAGAGAUCCGGAAGAACACCAACGGCGAAAGCACUCUGCUGGGCCGACACUGACACUGAGAGACGAAAGCUAGGGGAGCGAAUGGG
rnacentral:rRNA from 1 species